AUGGUUAGGUCUUGUGACUUGCCUUCAAAUCCCAGCCUAGCAAACAUGGCAGAGAGCUCGGAUGUGCCACUCAGUGGCACCAAUGGAAGUGCUGUUGUUCAGGCUGAGAGCUUGGGUGUGCCACUCAGUGACACCAACGGAAGUGCCAGUGUUCAUGGUGAAGAGAGCUUGGAUGUGCCAGUAAGUGACACGAAUGGAAGUGCCACUGUUCAGGAUGAAUGUUCUUCGGAAGGAAAUGAGUUAAUCAUCGUGGAUGAGAUGGACUCCUUGUGGGAUGAUGUAAAUACCAUGGUUGACAUCUCAACAUUCGUGACAUACUCUGUCAUCAAAGGGUUUGUAAAAGAUGCAGAACAAGAAAUAGGUCAGCAGCUUGCCUCCAAGGAUGAAGAGAUAACGUUGCUGAACCAAAAGCUGCUGCAGCUUGGAAAUGGCAGCUUAAGUUUGCCUGAGGGUCGGGAUAGAAAAUAUGAUGAAAUUUAUAGUAUUCGUCAACAGCUUGAUGCGAUUUCCAAGUCACUCUUGAAUUCUGAGUGGGGGCUUCUGGGAUCCCAGUAUAACUCUGAUGGUGCAGAAGAUGUGAGUAAACAAAGAGGCAAGGAACAAUCCUGUAGAAAUGGUACAACAAAGGAAGACAGUCCUGGAGUCCCUCCUGAAGAGGUUUUUGGUGAUCUGUCAUACCUGAAGCACAUGGAUCAGGAUGCUUUGAUAGCCCAUUUUAAUAAAGAGAUGAAUCAUAUGAAAAGGCAGCAUGAUAAGGUCGUGCAAGAGAAGACAGAAGAGAUAUUCGCACUAAAGCGAAAACUGCUAAAAAAGGAAGGAUCCAACCCAUGGCAUUUACGGAAUAACAAAGAAUUCGAGCAAAUUAGAAAGAAAAUCGGGGAAGUUAUGGCAAGAUUAGAUGGCCUUCUCUUGGAGAAUAAUAAGAGAACCACUUCUGGCAUCAAGGCAGAAACAUUUGCUGGCCAACACGACAAGAGCAAUGCCUUAGAUUCUGAAAUCCAGCCAAUACAUUGUGCUGCUACUAAUAAUCAAGUAGAAGCAUGUGCUUUUCCCAUCCAGGCAUCACACACUACACCCAUAGAGCCAGAUCAUGCAGAGAAAAUUGGAAUGUUAGAAUCUGAUAUUGAAGACGCCAGGAUGGCAACCAUCAUUAGAGAAGAGAUGGAGAUGAUUGUACUAAGAGAGUUCGUUAACGAAAUAGAAAUACGGUUGCAUGGUAAUGAGAUGGAGUAUAACAUGAAGCAAGACAUUUGUUCAGUCAUUCAGAAUGAAGCUGUAGCAGAAGCGCUGUUAAACCUCAACUCUGCAUUGUUAAAGUUCAAUGAGGAAAGGAGCUGCUCUGAAGCGGUAUCGACUCUACAGAAGCAAGAGAUUGAGAAACUGAAGCGAGCUGUUGACUCUUUCAGUAAAGUAGUGAGGGAAAAAGAGGCGUGUCAGAUCGAACUGGGAGCAAUGAAGGGUCAUAUGGAUUUAUUAUCCCAUCGACUUGAUUUACUUACAGUCAGAGUCGACAAGCAAGACUCUUGUAUAUCUGAAAAAAACAAGGAGUUUGAUAUGAUUGCUGGCAGGCUGGAGCAAGCUAUGGAGGAUGUACGUCAAAAUGAGAUCAUUUCCAGUGAGUUGCUCCACAGAUUUAGAAAUGCUGCAGACUCUCUAAAGGAGGCGGAGAAACAAAAUCAAUAUUUACGUAACGUCAUCCAAGAUAAGGAGAAAAUAUUCACAUCAACCAUUUAUAAAGAAAAGGAGUUCAAAGAACGCAUGACAAGUCUUGUUGAAUCUAUGAGAGAGUUUGAGAAUCUGAUUACAGAUCAACAAACUAUCAUUGCAAACAAAAUUCAGCACAGUGAAUCAAGGUUCUGUUUACUGAAAGACCAAUGUAAACACCUCACGAAAGAAGGCAAUCUUUUAAAAAGAAAGGCAUUGCGAUACAAGGAGAUAUCUGAGACAAGAGGAUCUAAUCUUCAAAAGGCUGAGCUCGAGGUGGAUUUACUUGGCGAUGAAGUUGAGGCCUUAACGGAUCUUCUUGCAAAAAUUUAUAUUGCGCUCGACCACUAUUCUCCAGUUUUGCAACACUAUUCUGGGGUUAUGGAGACCUUGAACAUGAUCAGGAAACACAUCAGCACAACAAAGUGA
rnacentral:rRNA from 1 species